rnacentral:rRNA from 1 species
CCCUAUGGGGUGCACCAGGCCUUGGAUAGGCAGCAACGAUGUAGUGUGGAUUUGGUUUUGUUUCGCCUGCUUCCAUUUCCAGCUCUGCCCGGAGAUUAUCCGGAGUUGUCAGGGUGUUUGCAUAGUUAAAAACAACGCGGUCCAUGUGUUUGUAUACCUCCUUGCUUUCGUCGACCAUGCCGUAAUAAUCAAGCAACUGGGCGAAAACAUAAUUCGUGGUUGUAUACACAUCCUGCCCCUGUUCUGAUUCAACAGGCUCUCCAUCCUUUGUUUUGCACAUGGCCCAGCCCAUAAACGAGCGGUUCGUGUCAUAGAUAGCUUUGAGAAUCUUUUUAACCCGUUCUUCCGGAAUUGGCGGGGGGGC